UGGAGCCUGAUGAGAACAUAACCUUAGUUUUGAACACAAAACACAUGGGACUUGACCUGGGUGGCGAUACAUUGGCAUUCACCCAGGUCUUGGCAUCAUCACAAUACAUCUCACAUUAUAAACGCACCCGGGUUAUGCCUGCGCGAUCUUCACAAAAACAAUCAACACGUCACAGUUUUACUAUUCAUGUCUCAUUUUAGCUUGAAUGUUCAGACUUAUGUAUCACUUAUAUUUCAUAUCAAUUUACAACUCAUAUAUCACCAGUAUCAUCACUUUAUAUCUAUGUUAUAAAUCAAGCUUCACCAACAUCAUCACAGUCCAUGCAUCAUCAUAACAUAAUUCACUAAAAUCAUCAUUAUCUAUACCAUUCCAAUUCUAUCAGUCACACUGAAUCGAAAUUUCAUUUCAUUUCACUCCACACAUCAUUUGAUGUUCAUCCAAUAGAAUGUUCCAACAGGUCCAGCAGGGCCAUUUCACAGCAUUCCAGGAUCUGAAUACGUGCAACCACCUUUUUGAUCCAAUUCUAAAAAACAAACAACAAAUUGUUAGACAAUUUCUAUCUAAAUUUAAAAUUCUAUGUCGCAAUAAUGUUUCCACUUUUAUUUGUGCAAGCGCAGCAAGAGUAGCAAGUGUAGCAAGCAUAGCAAGAGUAGCAAGAGUAGCAAGCGUAGCAAGUGUGGCAAGCGUAGCAAGAGUAGCAA